UACAGGAGGGUGCGAGCGUUAAUCGGAAUUACUGGGCGUAAAGCGUGCGUAGACGGCUAUCUAAGUCGGGUGUGAAAGCCCCGGGCUCAACCUGGGAAUUGCGUUGGAGACUGCAAGGCUGGAGUCUGGCAGAGGGGGGUAGAAUUCCACGUGUAGCAGUGAAAUGCGUAGAGAUGUGGAGGAACACCGAUGGCGAAGGCAGCCCCCUGGGUCAAGACUGACGCUCAUGCACGAAAGCGUGGGGAGCAAACAGG
rnacentral:rRNA from 1 species